AAGUUCCCGUAUGAUCACUGAAGUUAAGCAAUGUCGAGCCUGGUCAGUAACAAGAUGGGUGACCUCUUGGGAAUAUCAGUUGUUGUAAG